rnacentral:tRNA from 1 species
GGGUAUAACUCAGUGGUAGAGUGCAUGCCUAGCAUGCAUGAGGUCAUGGGUUUAAUUCCCAGUACCGCCA